rnacentral:lncRNA from 1 species
GAAGGUAGAAGGUGGGGUCUGCCGGACGCGUGUUCCUGCCACCAGGUGCCCGCUCCCCGCGAGGCCGGCUCAGGAGCAGAAGGAAGCCCGGUGCCAGCCAGCCUUCCUGAAAGACCAAGCCCGCGCCAUCCGGCUUCCUCCAGUGGACGCCUGCAGGACCCAGGAAUGUUUUUCUUGAAGGCAUCCAGCAUCUCCAGUUAGCAGUACUGAUUUUUUUUCCCCCCAACAAAGGAACACUACAUCAACACUGUUGGCGGGGACCUGGACACAGAAGACUCCUGUUUCAAGAAAAUACAAUCAUCUCUCAAAGGCUGUAAUUUAUAUGCAUUUUAAAACUCUAGGCAUUGAAAACCACCCAAGUGUCCCAAAUAGAAGGGUAAUAUAUAAUCAAUCACUCAGUGUAAUAUUAUACAUCCUUUAAAAAUGUUAUUGGGAAAUGUUUUAUGAUCUGUAAGUCCAAGGAAUCCUCUCCCACCAUUUCUUUCCCCCCGCUGUUCCCCCAUACCCACACUUCUUUGUUCCAAUUGGCAUGUAAAUUUGGUUUUCCCGCCAAAUGAGUCAGUCAUGAUGGGAACCUCAACUGAUUUGAACAGAUGUGUGUCAAUGUUACUUGGAAAACUAGAUGUCAAUAACCAGGGUCACAGAAAAAGGCAGUGGUCACAACUCUGUAAAAAUGUAUGCAUGCACACAGACAAGAACUAAAGUGGAACCCCACACAGG